GGACGUCCGCACGGGAGCCCGGCGAGGGCUGAGAGGGAGCGAGGCAGCGAACUCGCUCCGACCGUGGAACCUGAUCCGGAUCAUGCCGGCGCAGGGAGCGUGAUCUCUCAUGAA
rnacentral:ncRNA from 2 species